UCCGAGUUGACCCCGGCAGUCUCCUACGAGUCCCCGGCGAUAUCCGCUGGCAACAUAGGAUAAGGGUUGCGCUCGUUGCGGGACUUAACCCAACAUCUCACGACACGAGCUGACGACAGCCAUGCACCACCUGUAUACCGACCACAAGGGGGGCCGUAUCUCUACGGCUUUCCGGUAUAUGUCAAACCCAGGUAAGGUUCUUCGCGUUGCAUCGAAUUAAUCCACAUGCUCCGCCGCUUGUGCGGGCCCCCGUCAAUCCCUUUGAGUUUUAGUCUUGCGACCGUACUUCCCAGGCGGAGCGCUUAAUGCGUUAGCUUCGGCACCGCGGGGGUCAAUACCCACGACACCUAGCGCUCAUCGUUUACGGCGUGGACUAC
rnacentral:misc_RNA from 1 species